rnacentral:misc_RNA from 1 species
CAACACCCACUCAAACCCCCCUUAGUGUGCGGGUUUGGAUCUGAUGAGUCGUGUGCCACCACCAUCUCGCGUGGCGCUGACUUGAAGUAGUACGUGUAUAUUGAAUCGGGCCUAUGCAUACCACCGCGUGCGCACACCUGGUUCUGACGUGAUAGUCUCAUUCUUGGGAACUCGUCAGCACAGGCGCGUAAUCCACGUGGAUCGGUCAUAGUGUUUCCCAGUCACCCACCCCACAUUCUUGAUAUUAUGAAUC